rnacentral:rRNA from 1 species
GUCGAGUCGGCCUGCGCGGAAGAUGUAACGGGGCUAAACCAUGCACCGAAGCUGCGGCAGCGACACUAUGUGUUGUUGGGUAGGGGAGCGUUCUGUAAGCCUGUGAAGGUGUACUGUGAGGUAUGCUGGAGGUAUCAGAAGUGCGAAUGCUGACAUAAGUAACGAUAAAGCGGGUGAAAAGCCCGCUCGCCGGAAGACCAAGGGUUCCUGUCCAACGUUAAUCGGGGCAGGGUG